UACAGAGGGUGCGAGCGUUAAUCGGAAUUACUGGGCGUAAAGCGUGCGUAGACGGUUAUCUAAGUCGGAUGUGAAAGCCCCGGGCUCAACCUGGGAAUUGCAUUCGAGACUGAAUAGCUAGGGUACGGUAGAGGGAAGUGGAAUUUCCGGUGUAGCGGUGAAAUGCGUAGAUAUCGGAAGGAACAUCAGUGGCGAAAGCGACUUCCUGGACCAGUACCGACGUUCAGGCACGAGAGCGUGGGGAGCAAACAGG
rnacentral:rRNA from 1 species